GUUCAGCCGCCAGCACUAUGCAGAAGAUACUCAGCUCUGUAACUCAUUCUCUGUGAAUGAAACCAGGCCACUACUAGGAUGUCAGAGUGCCUACAGGAAAUCACUGCCCGGAUGAGGACCAGCAAGCUCAAGUUAAAUCCAGGCAAGACUGAAGUGACAGUGGAAAAUAGAAGAGAGAGAUUUCAUACUAAUUGAUUUUAAUGGACUGUGAGCUACUGAAAUAUUUAGAGUCAGUUGUAUUAAAAGCAAAAUAUGCUUGCUAAUGGAAUAAAGAGAUAGCUGGUAAA